rnacentral:piRNA from 1 species
UGCCACAGAGGAAAUUUUACCAAGGAGGUGA